AUAGAGACUCGUCCUCAGACUCCUCCCUCCUCCCGAGCUCGCGGCCCCGCCCUUUCCCACCCCGGGGCUGCUCCCUCCACCACGCUGCGUGCCGAGAGCAUCGAUGAGCCCAUCUAGGCGCCGCCUGGCUCCCUGCUCUCAACCCGACACUGGGCAGAUCCCCCUCACCCGGUGCGUACCCAGCGGACGUGCACGCUGAGCAGCUCUCACUGGCGCCUCCCAAGCCUGGAAGAUCGGAAACCUACCUGGCCACCAGAAGGAUACCGGGUCCAGAGCUCACAGUGACUUAACUACCCCUGGCAAGGCAAUAAGAGGUGAACAAACCUGGGGACCCAGAGAGUACACAGACUCCCUACUCCAGGAAUCUGGAGCAAACAGAGUGGACAAAGACUGGACAGCAGCUGGUAUAUCAACACCCAUGCCUCGUUCUGGGAUAGAGAGACCAGUAUGUUUGGGGAAUGGAGGUCAUAGUCUUCCACACACACCCUCCCUGGGACCAGCUGCACCCUGUUCAUCCCUGCCUGGUCUUAAGACCUCUGUCUCACCACUUACUUCUUCUUGGGCCUUGCCUUCCCCUCCUUCACAUCUGCCAUCAACAGAAGAUCAUUGAAGACUGCUCUUGAAGGCCUAGUAUGGGAGACCAUAGAGACCCUUCUGCCAGGGCUAGGGAAAAUCAGAAGCCCAGAGCCAACAGUUAAAUGGGAGAGAGAAGGGAUCAGAGGACCUGCGCAGACUAGAAC